GACAGAGGGUGCAAACGUUGUUCGGAAUUACUGGGCGUAAAGCGCGCGUAGGCAGCAGCGUGUGUCGGGCGUGAAAUCCCACGGCUCAACCGUGGAAGUGCACUCGAAACUGCGCAGCUAGAGUCUCGGAGAGGAAGGCGGAAUUCUUGGUGUAGAGGUGAAAUUCGUAGAUAUCAAGCGGACCACCGGUGGCGAAGGCGGCAUCCUGGACCGGCAUUGACGCUGAGGCGCGAAAGCCAGGGGAGCAAACGGG
rnacentral:rRNA from 1 species